ACGCUCGACACCUACGGAGGCAGCAGUUAGGAAUAUUGGGCAAUGGAGGAAACUCUGACCCAGCAACGCCGCGUGAAGGAAGAAGGUUUUCGGAUUGUAAACUUCUGAUCUAGGGGAAGAAGGAAGUGACGGUACCCUAGGAGAAAGCCACGGCUAACUACGUGCCAGCAGCCGNGGUAAUCUGAGGCGGGCUGGCGAAGGC
rnacentral:rRNA from 1 species